UACUGGUACUAUUCUAUUUCGGUAUACUAAUAUAAGGGUUGGUUCGGCCUACCAAGUGUUAGUACGCCCUCUGUAGCGCAUAACGGUUCGGUACUGCUAUGAUUCGGUACGGUCGAUACAUACUAGUACCAACCAAUAUAGCAAAUCUUGUAUGGCAUGCUCUUGCAUUUAUUGAGCUUAUAUAUUGAGAAUAAUUCAUUUGGUGAUUUUUUUUUCCAAAAUUACAAUGCAGAAUCUAUUUUUUAUUUAAUGUAACUUGCUUACUACGGCUGAAAAUUUGUGUACUUGUGUCCUUUAUAUCCUGAUAUUAUGGAUUUCUUUGUUCCAUAGCACGCUUCUAACAGAAUGUGAAUUAUUCAAAUUUUCAAGUAGGUGAAUUUCUUUAUAUGAUAUUAUCUUCUAUUGUUUUGGGCCAACAUUGUUCCUGGAAGAGUUCUGAGUACUGGACCUAAUAACUAAUAAUGCAUAUCUGAUCCCAGCAAAUUUCACCAGUAUUUAAUUCCUCUCUGUC
rnacentral:lncRNA from 1 species